UCGCGGCCUAUCAGCUUGUUGGUGAGGUAGCGGCUCACCAAGGCAACGACGGGUAGCUGGUCUGAGAGGACGAUCAGCCACACUGGGACUGAGACACGGCCCAGACUCCUACGGGAGGCAGCAGCAGGGAAUAUUGCACAAUGGGCGAAAGCCUGAUGCAGCGACGCCGCGUGAGGGAUGAAGGCCUUCGGGUUGUAAACCUCUUUCAGGAGGGAAGAAGCGAAAGUGACGGUACCUCCACAAGAAGCCCCGGCCAACUACGUGCCAGCAGCCGCGGUAAUACGUAGGGGGCAAGCGUUGUCCGGAUUCAUUGGGCGUAAAGAGCUCGUAGGCGGCUCAGCAAGUCGGUCGUGAAAGCCCGGGGCUCAACCCCGGGACGCCGAUCGAAACUGCUGUGGCUAGGGUCCGGUAGAGGAGAGUGGAAUUCCCGGUGUAGCGGUGAAAUGCGCAGAUAUCGGGAGGAACACCAGUAGCGAAGGCGGCUCUCUGGGCCGGCACCGACGCUGAGGAGCGAAAGCUAGGGGAGCAAACAGGAUUAGAUACCCUGGUAGUCCUAGCCGUAAACGUUGGGCACUAGGUGUGGCGGACUCAUUGACGUCUGCCGUGCCGCAGCAAACGCAUUAAGUGCCCCGCCUGGGGAGUACGG
rnacentral:rRNA from 1 species